ensembl:lncRNA LINC01646 long intergenic non-protein coding RNA 1646
AAGGGAGGCCCCAACAGCGAUGGCUGCAAACCCUUGGAGGUGGCAUUGCCAAAAGCGGACGUCAAUAGAUGUAAUGCAAAAAUAGUGUCUUGUGUUCAAAAAAGGUUGGGAAAUACUGAGUGAAAGGUCAAUCAAAGAGUGAGGAGCUGACAGAAGAGUUUGAGCCACAGCUUCCUGCGAGACAGGAAAAAUCUGGAAGAGUGAAGGGUCACAGGAGUCAAGAGGAGAUGUGUUCCAAGGAGGAAGUAAGACAAAAACAGUGCCUGCUGCUCAGUCAAUGCCUGAUGAUGGAGUGAACAGAUUUCUGCUUUCUGUGGCCACCUCUGGGCCACAGAAAGGCCCAGAGGUUACAAGCAACCUCUGGUCUUUGAAGAAGGAGCAAAAGGACAGAGAAGUAUGAAAAGGAGCCCCGUUUGGAUGCACCCACUGAGCACUGAAGGGGAGGACUCUUAGGUGGCCCCAUCCUUUGCAAACAGGCUCAGUGGUUCUCCCGCGCUCACCCCAAGGCCCAGAAUCCAUGCAUACAUGUAGGGUGGGGCAGGCCGGCUCACGCUGACACGUCCAGCCUCUGCCCAGCUCCUCUGCUGGAGUCUCUGCAGGGAAUUUGGCAGAGCUUGGUCAUUCCUUCACUAAUUCAGCCGUUGUAGAAAAGCCACCCAGUUAACAGGUCUGAGCCAUUUCCUCUCAUCCUGGGGACUAGAGGUGACUGCCACUUUGAGGCCAGUUAAGAGUUCUUGGCCCUUCCUGGAAACCCUGCACUGCUGGGAAGUGGGUGGACACACACUUCUGAGAAUGAAUUCCAAGCGAAUUUUCCCAUCAUUUCUUUCCCCCUAGCAGUGCAAGGCUGGGGCACACAGGGAGAGAAUGUCUCUCUCACAUGUCAACUCCCAUGGUCUCAACUAGGCCUCGGGGGAAAGAGAAUGGGGCAUUCCAGGAUGGGAAUUCCAGGGUGGGCAUUCCAAGGAGUAAGAGGAAUUCUGGGAAGGAGGACACUCGUGAUGCAUGCAUGGCCCAUCCAGAAGGUCCAGGAUCAUCUCCCCAGCCCAAGCCUUUAAUCACAUCUGCGAAGACCCCCCUCUUCCUAUAGAAGGUGACACGGUCCCAGGUUCUGGGAAUUAGGACACAGACACCUCUGUUCAGCUGACCACAGCCACUGGGGGACCCACUGUUGAUCCCCCAUCCAUUCUGAUAAAGGCUUUCAUGAUGUCAGAAA